CAUCCUGUAGUUUUCUAAGGUAUUGCUCCUUCCUUGUUAAACUUUAGCUUCUUCACUUUCUGUCUAGCCCAAAGUGAACCUCCAGACAACAAAAACAGGCGAGGAGCUAUAAUAUAGUGUGCCUUGAAGAACCUGUUGUAAGAACUUGAUUUCUCUGCCUGAGGAUAGGUCUUUCCUCUGAAGAAUCAUCUUGUUUGUAGCUUGUACUGCCGCAAGUAGGAAUUUCAUAAAAGAAAGCUUUAACUCAGAAGAAAUGAAAAGGCAGCACCAUUUGCUCGAAAAUCACACAAAAGCAAAUAUGGUUGGAGGCUAAAAGGACUCCUGGAGGCUGCACAGGAUGCUACUUCCCAGGAAGCUUUUCCUUCUGGACUUUGAUGAGUCAUAAUGUGUUCUCUGAAGUUGCUUUUCUCUUUCUAGUUUGGUAUCAAGGGGUGGAAGUUGCCUUUUUCAUGUCUGUAGCCACAUUUGCUUGUUACAUAAGUCUGCUUUGGUAGAUGAGAACUUCUUGUCAAUGCUGGGCUUAAAAACUGGUAUCUGGUUACAACACUCUCAUGAAGAAAAGUCCCAUGUACAAAGUUUGAAGCUUUUAGUCCUAGCAGACAAAGCAUUGCUAUGGACUGAAACGUUGCCUGACUUGAGGUCAGAGCAAGAAAGACCAUGUAGGGAUGAUUAUUUCAUCUUUAGUAAUGGAAAUGGAGCUUUGACAGAUUGAAUCAGCUGACAUUUAAUUUAGUGAAGAGUUUAGAAUUGGCGAGAAAAUUUAUUACAGAAAUAAACACUCUCCUUUUUCACCCCAAUGAAUACUCUCAAAAAGUGUUGUCUCUCCAUAACCAUAUUCCUUCAAAAUGCCACCCUAAUUCUCUUUGUGAUCAUAUUGCUCUCUAGCUUGAAAUCCCCAUCUAUUCCCAAUCCAUUUGGGGAUAAAUUUCAAACAUCUUAGCAUAAUACCCAGUGCUGUACAAGGACAGGUCUCUAUGAGCCUUGUUGACUUCCCCAAAGGCUGCACUGUGGGAUACCUGGUCUACCUGCUGGUUCCUAUGGUGCUCUACUGAUUAUAUUUCCCUCAGUCUGAUAUGCAGGUCUCAAACUCACAUCCUAGAAGACUCACCUGUGACCCAGCAUCCUUCCUGCCCUUGCAGACAGAGAAACUGCAGGUCCUACUCUGCUCCCAUAGCAACUGAUGUGUACCUCCAUUAGAGCACUUAUCACUUUGAUGCAAUUAUUUGUUUGGUAUCCUCCACUAGAUGGUUAGUGCCUGGAGGCUAUAGAGCAAGUUCAAUUCAUCUUUGAAACCUCAGCAAUUAGCUAGAUGCUUAGCAUGUUGUAUGUUGUUUAAAAAAACACUGUUGAAUGGAAGGAUGAGAAAUAGUGUAUUUAUCUGGCUUACAGAAUUCAGCAGGACCUCAGUAUUAGUUCAUUAAAAAGAUCAGAAUCUUUAUAUUUUUCAAGCUAAAGGACUUGAAAAUGUUUUCAGCUUUUAUGUUGUUUUGGGGGGUGUCUGGGAAGCUGCACUUUUGUAUAAACAGCAUU